rnacentral:snoRNA from 1 species
UCUGCAGUGAUGAGCCUCUAACAUGUAAGAAGAGCCUCAAACACGGUUUCUUCUAUGAAAUACACUUGUUACGCUUGGCUUCUGAGCGCG